GAUUAUUUGGGACGCGGCACCAAUGAUAGAUCGAAGAUGCUUUGAGGCAUUAGAUAAGACACUUAAAGAUAUACUUAAUGAGCCAACGCAGUCUUUUGGUGGAAAAUCAGUGCUGCUGGGUGGGGAUUUCAGACAAACUUUACCUGUAAAACCUAAAGCGAGCAAGAGAGACAUCAUAGAGUCAUCUAUAGUUGAAUCGUCAGUAUGGAGCCAUUUCAAAGUAUGUAAAUUAUCAAAAAAUAUGAGGCUUCUUCAACCUAAUCUAAGUACCAAAGAAAAAGAAGAAAUUGCUGCUUUUUCAUCAUGGUUGUUGCAGAUAGGAGAUGGACGUGUUGGUGUAGAUGAUGAAGAUGAUCCUACUGACACCAAAUGGGUAGAGAUACUAGAAAAAUAUCUCAUACCAGAUCAUGAAGAUGCUCUUAAGGAUUUAGUUCGCUUUAUAUAUGACGAAGACAUUUUUCAUAAUCCAACAGCAACCAUGUUCUGUGACAAAGCCAUUGUUUACCCUAAAAACGAAACUGCAGAUGAAAUUAACAACCUCAUAUUGUGUAAUCUGCCAGGGAAACCUAUUAUUUAUCUAAGUUUCGACUCAAUUAUUCCACAUACGAAUGAUAGAGGGGAUACAAAGGUUCUUUAUCCGUCUGAAUAUUUGAACCUGCUUAACUUCAGUGGUUUCCCUACUCACCGUCUUCAACUAAAAGUUGGUAUUCCAAUCAUGUUACUCCGCAACAUGAAUCAGAUGGAAGGGCUCUGCAAUGGAACUAGGAUGAUUAUCACACAGCUUCUACCAAGACUUAUUCAGGCAGAAGUCAUCACUGGAGUUCAGAUAGGCCACAAAGUUUAUAUACCUCGAAUCACUUUAAAUCAUACUGAUAAAGAAUUACCAUUCGUUUUCAAAAGAAAGCAAUUCCCAGUUAGAGUUUGUUAUGCCAUGACGAUAAACAAGAGCCAAGGCCAGUCUUUAAACAAGAUAGGAAUUUAUCUUCCUCAUCCAAUUUUCAGUCACGGGCAAUUGUACGUUGCACUAUCUAGGGCUACAUCAGCAGCUGGUCUCAAAAUACUGAUUAAAAGACAAGAGGACCAGCCAUCUAAUUGUACAAAAAAUAUUGUCUUCUCAAAUUUUUUAGCAAAAUUAGAAUCUGCACAGGCUGUAGAUAUGGAGCUUCUUCUUCAUUGACUUAAAAAAAAAUCACCUUCCACAGCAGUAGCACCGAUGAUGUUGGUAAUAUUGAUGUUUGAAGGUAGAGGUGGAAGGAAUCAAACAGUUGCAAGGUAAUUAUGUUACAUGAUUUUGUAUAAUAUAAGUAAUAGAGAAAAAAUGUAACUAAAAUAUCUUAAUGAGUUAUGUUUUGAAAUUAUAUAAGUAAAAGGAAAAUAAAUGGACAGACUUAUAAACCCCUCUUAUUGCUUUUUUGGUUUUUUUAGUGUUAAUGAUGUUGCACUCUUCCACAGGUUUAUACAACCAAGAGAACUUUUUUUUUUUUAUUUUUUCUUGGCAGUUUUUGCUUUUUUGGUGUUCUACUUUUAAUGUACUACAAGAACACAAGUCAGAAUUAUCAAAAUCAGGUACGAUAGAACCAGUCAGCCUUACCCCUCUUUUCCUCACGCAAUCUUCUAGGUACGGUUCGCUUCGAUCUCAUUCAUAGAUUUCGUGAUUUUUCCACCAGCCACUCCUUAUUACCAGAUAAAACACUUCAUGCGAUUUCACUUUUUCCACAUAUCGGCUUCCUGUCUUCCAGAUUCUACAAAAAUGGAUACAAGUAUGGUAGCAAACUUAAACCCUGGUGAUGGAGACAAGCCAAUAGAAAUAAAAGUCAUUUGGAAAUUGUUAUCAUAUGGGAAAAAAGUUGAAUGUUGCUACAUAUUCCUUGAUAAAAGUGGAGAUGCAAUAGAAGCAUGUGGUUUCCUGGGAGAUAAAGGCUACUUUGAUUCGAUAAUCAGGAUGGAUGGUUGUUACUCUGUAAGCAACUACAUGUGUGACAAUGCAAAUACUUUCUUUGUUACUGUUCCACACAAAACCAAAAUCAAGCUAGGCAGGGCAGCAAAAUUUGAAGAAAUACGUGAUGAUGGAUUUCCUGUGUACUACUUCAAUUUUCUUGCAUAUGGUUAAUUAGGUGCAAGGCUUGAUAACCAUAAGACACUCACAUGUAUGUAAUACUUACACACACACACACACACACACACACAUAUAUAUAUAUAUAUAUAUAUAUAUAUAUAUAUAUUAAAAUCAUAAAAUUGUUAUAUUUGUGUUAAGAUUAUAUCGGAAGAGUUGAAAAUGUGUAUGAAGUAGUCAGAACUCAAGGAAAUGCAAUUUUGAAACUCAAACUAGAAAAUUUGAGGUAUUUUCUAUCUCAUAUAUCUAACAAAGACCACAACAUAUCAUAUUUAAUAUCUGAAAUAUGUAUGUUUAAUGGAACAAUGAUUGAGACAACUUUCUUGGAUGAGGCGGCUAACUUAUUUGAUAAAGAAGCUAUCGAAACAUUGCCUUCUCCUGUUAUUGUUGCUAUUACUUCAAUGAAGGUCACACACUGUCUAGGAAAUUUGCAACUGACCGCAACUCCAGCCUCAUAUAUUUACAUCAACCCCACUAUUCCCAAGGCUGUUGUAGUGGCUGCUGAGUUUCUCGAACGACAUAAUCAAAACCCUGUACUCAAGAUACAAUACCAAAAAGUAAAGAUGUAGAAGUCGAAAAGAAAAGAAACAGGUUUCCAUUGGUAGACUUGCUAUCUCAAAACCCAAAUCGUUAUGCAGUAAGCCAUCAAACCUUCUCUUAUCUUAAAAUAUAUAUACAAAUUUUAUAGUUUUAAAUUUAAUAUAUAUAAUAUUACAGGGAGCUCAGUUCACUUGCAAAGCAUCUCUGGUUAGCAUAGAUGCAAGCAAGGGUUGGUUUUAUAAAGCAUGUCAUGAAUGUCGUAAAAAACUUCAAAAAAGAGGAAACACACUUGCAUGCGAAGAUCAUGAUCAAGUUGCUAAACCAAACAAUUUGUUUUUUAUCACAGCAUACAUCGCAGAUGAGACCGCUCAAGCAAAGAUAGUAUUUUUUGAUGCUGCAACUAGAAUGUUGUUCCAAACAGAUUGCAACACACUCAUUGAUCAUCAUGGAUACAUUGAUCCGUACACAUUGCCUGCACCGCUCAUCAUUCUCAUAGGCCAGCCAAAAAUAAUUCAAUUCCGAUUCGCAAGAUUCUGUAGGCCGGGUGCUAAAGACUUUGUAGCAGAUGCUGUUUUUGAAGAUAUAGUUUCUCCAGAAAAAGAAAGUCACACAGAAACAGACAUUAUCAACCAACCAACUGCCUCAGCAUCAUAAAAAAAAACACCCACUACAUCAACUGAUCCUCCAUCUACUGCUUCUGUUACUCCAACAAAAGCCUUUCAAGAGUGUGACAACCCGAAAUUUCCAUUCUGUACAAACCAUAUCCAGCCAAUAGAAGUAGAACAAUUACAGUGAAAUUCCAGACUUUGGGUAUAAGUUUGAGUAUUUCAGAAAUUGCACUUAAGGAGAUAUCAGGAGAGUGGAUGCACUAGGGUUUUGUGCAACACUGUUAUUCCAAAACUCUAUGAUAUUAGAGUUCAUUCCGAGAAUAAAAUAUUUUCUGCCAAAAAUCCCAGGACUAUAUAUAGAAAUCUGAACCAUAUUCAUUCAUUAGUUACAUUUCCAACUAGAGAAAAGCCGAAUUCUCU